AUUGAACGCUGGCGGCAGGCCUAACACAUGCAAGUCGAACGGUAACAGGAAGAAGCUUGCUUCUUUGCUGACGAGUGGCGGACGGGUGAGUAAUGUCUGGGAAACUGCCUGAUGGAGGGGGAUAACUACUGGAAACGGUAGCUACUACCGCAUAACGUCGCAAGACCAAAGAGGGGGACCUUCGGGCCUCUCGCCAUCGGAUGUGCCCAGAUGGGAUUAGCUAGUAGGUGGGGUAACGGCUCACCUAGGCGACGAUCCCUAACUGGUCUGAGAGGAUGACCAGCCACACUGGAACUGAGACACGGUCCAGACUCCUACGGGAGGCAGCAGUGGGGAAUAUUGGACAAUGGGCGCAAGCCUGAUGCAGCCAUGCCGCGUGUAUGAAGAAGGCCUUCGGGUUGUAAAGUACUUUCAGCGGGGAGGAAGGGAGUAAAGUUAAUACCUUUGCUCAUUGACGUUACCCGCAGAAGAAGCACCGGCUAACUCCGUG
rnacentral:rRNA from 1 species